rnacentral:lncRNA from 1 species
UGAGCUGUGAAGAGUACCAGAAUCUCCCUUUGGAGGAGAGAGAUGCAGGGGACAUAACCUUGCAUCGGUUGGCACAAAACAAAAGGUGGAGGCGUUGCCAGCAGUGCCGCAGGAUGAUUGAGCUCACUCAUGGUUGCUAUCACAUGACCUGCUGGUAAGAUAUUUCACUUCCGUCAUGGAUAAUUUUAUUUUAUUUUUUAAAUUAAAAAGAUGGUAGAUCCAUAGAUGGGUUAGAAAGUUGGUAAACCUCUUUCUCUUAAUUGGCCACAAAUCAGUUAGAUUGCCUCUAGGAGUUUGAAAAACUGGUUGACUCAAUCAUCUGAUUUCUAGUUUUUUUUUUAAUGUUAAAUGUAAAAGCGUGGUGUUCUGGUUGGAAGCAGCAUGCAUGGAAAGUAAGGUGCUUAUGACUCCUCUCAAAUUAAAGAAUUUGCCCUUUAGGAUUUUGAGGUCUUAGAAGUUGUUAGGUCCAAGAACUUUGAGUCUAAUGAAAUUUGAUAGGUUAGUAUAUGUCAAACAGUUAUGUAGUCAGACUGGUUUUUGAUAAGAGGCUUGUAGUGAGACCAAUGACAUGGCUUCGGUUUCCUAUUUAAGAAUAUUGGUGGUAAUGGCUAUUGUGGUGAUGAAAUGUUCUGUCAAUGACAGCGUUUAGGACAUUGGUGUUAGUGUUGUUAGGUCUGUCAGUGAGCAUACAGUUGUGAUUAAUAACAAUUUGUUUGCUUGAAAUGGAGCUUUUGAAGACAAUUACAUUGUUGCUUAUAUCAUUAAGUAACUUUUCUAGUUCUUUCCAUUUUACAGUGUCUGUUUGGUUAGUUUCGAAGGUUUGAUGUCUCGUAUAUGCCAUGGGUAUUUGAUGCUCUAAUAUUUAUCAAUAAAGAUGUUGCAAGUGAUAAUGAGGAUACUGCACAUAAGAUUAGAGGGUGGAUGAAGUUGGGAACUGCAUUGGGUUAUGUUCAAAUUUUAAAGUGCUGGACUUAUAAAUGGAAAAUUUAUGUUCAGCUAUUAGGGAGGAACAAUCUAGAACUGCAGUUGAACCAAACAAGAUGGAUAGGGCAGCGUCAUUAGAAAACUUGGAAUAAAUAAUGAGGUUUUGUUGAAUUUAGCUGAUUGGAUAAGGAAAAGCUUUGUUGGUUCACAAUUUUGAGUUUUAUAACCAUUUGAUAAAGAUGCAAUUGGAAAGAUCCAUAACCCCACAAGAGGAAUGGAAGAUCCUCUGACUAGUGAAAUUAUAGUGUGGUCACCACUUCUAUUCUGUACUUUCAUAUGGGCUCCUUGUUGGAAUGAUUUACUUUUACCCAAAAUUAUAAUUAUAGUGAAUUCUUACUAGAUAGGUUUUUACUAAGAGUCUGCUGUAUUCUGUCGCUUGUGAAUGGGCUACGUUUGUAUUUUGGUCUCUUCCUCUGCCUCUUCUCUUUUUCACACACAGAUGCACUAAUUUGAGUUUCAUCUGCUACAUGAUGAUCUUAUUUGGGUAGUGAUAGAUUUGAAAAAGUUAUUGGUUUUUUUGUCCGUGGAACUUGAAUUUAGUUAACAGUGCAAAAUUUCUACAAAAUCAAAUAUGUGAGAUGGGAAAAGAAAAUUUAUUCAAGUUUUUCUUAAAUAUCUUAUGCAAUAAUAUAGGAUGAUAGUUUCUGAUUGUGAUAUCCAUCAAUUACAGCUAAUCGGCUUUGGUUGGUUAGAACUGAAGCAUUGCUAGGAAGACAAGCAACAACUAGCUGUUGGAUGAAUUUUAAUUGUUUCCUGCACAUGUUGUCCAAAUGUGAAAUAGUCUCUGGCAAUCGGUAUAUGUUUGUAAUAGUAAAUAAUAACAGGUCAAAUUUAACUUGAUUUAACUGCAGAGUCCAUAGUUUUUAAACCCAAAUGUACUCUCAUGUUUGAUUUCCAGGUGUGGACAUGAGUUCUGCUAUUCUUGUGGUGCUGAAUAUAGAGACGGCCAACAGACCUGCCAAUGUGCCUUUUGGGAUGAAGACAAUUCAGAAGAGUUGACCCAAUCUGUCCAUGAAUCAGAACAAUCAGCUUGGGAAACUUUCAAUUCUCUCCCCAUGAUUAUGGAUGCUUACUCAGACCAAGAAAGAUCACAGCUGGCGCUAAUCCAAAGAUUCCUUGCUGGCGGUUUCAGUCUUAGUGAUCAUCAUCCUUACCAAUCACCACCCCGC